GACGAACGCUGGCGGCGUGCUUAACACAUGCAAGUCGCGCGAGAAAGUGGGGGGCAACUCCAUGAGUAAAGCGGCGCACGGGUGAGUAAUACGUAGGUAACCUACCCUUGAGACCGGGAUAACCUUCCGAAAGGAGGGCUAAUACUGGAUAAGACCACGGGGCGUUAGGCUCUGCGGUCAAAGGUGGCCUCUGCACGCAAGCUACCACUCGAAGAUGGGCCUGCGCACCAUUAGCAGUUGGCGAGGUAACGGCUCACCAAGGCGAAGAUGGUUAGCUGAUCUGAGAGGAUGAUCAGCCACACUGGGACUGAGACACGGCCCAGACUCCUACGGGAGGCAGCAGU
rnacentral:rRNA from 1 species